rnacentral:lncRNA from 1 species
CUCUUGAAUGGCCUCUAAAAUUAGUACUUGAUUUCUCUUUUUUUUUUUCUUUUGGAUGUUCAAUGAAGCUCUUAUAACUUUGAAUUGAUUCUCUCUUUUAAUCCACUUCUCUUCUUUUUCUUUUGAUUCUCUAUCUUUUAAUAGACUUGACAAUAACUAGGAAAGGAGUUUGGAUUGUUGGAGGAUUUGAACUAGUCGUUGGAGUAAAAAAAAUAGUCGUUGG